AACGAACGCUGGCGGCAUGCCUAACACAUGCAAGUCGAACGAAGGCUUCGGCCUUAGUGGCGCACGGGUGCGUAACGCGUGGGAAUCUGCCCUUUGGUUCGGAAUAACAGCUGGAAACGGCUGCUAAUACCGGAUGAUGACGAAAGUCCAAAGAUUUAACGCCCGAGGAUGAGCCCGCGUUGGUUUAGGUAGUUGGUGGGGUAAAGGCCUACCAGGCCGUCGAUCCAUAGCUGGUCGGAGAGGAUGAGCGGCCACACUGGGGCUGAGGCACGGCCCAGACUCCUACGGGAGGCAGCAGUGGGGAAUAUAGGACAAGGGGCGCAAGCCUGAUCCAGCAAGGCCGCGGGAGUGAUGAAGGCCCUAGGGUUGUAAAGCUCUUUUACCCGGGAAGAUAAUGACGGUACCGGGAGAAUAAGCCCCGGCUAACUCCGUG
rnacentral:rRNA from 1 species